UACGUAGGGCGCAAGCGUUUGUCCGGAAUUAUUGGGCGUAAAGAGCUCGUAGGCGGUUCGUCACGUCGGCUGUGGAAUCCCGAGGCUCAACCUCGGGUCUGCAGUCGAUACGGGCGGACUGGAGUACUGCAGGGGAGACUGGAAUUCCUGGUGUAGCGGUGAAAUGCGCAGAUAUCAGGAGGAACACCGGUGGCGAAGGCGGGUCUCUGGGCCGAUACUGACGCUGAGGAGCGAAAGCGUGGGGGAGCGAACAGG
rnacentral:rRNA from 1 species